CUCCCCCGCCCUCCCCUCCCCUCCCCCCCGGACCUGGUUUACGACACUGGGUGGUUUUACUUUUACAUCACCUUCCCACACCUAGCGCGCGGCGCGGCCGGAACCUUGUUGCCAGGGGCGACGGGCGCUUUACGGCAGCGCGUUUGAACCGGGCCGAGGGAAAAGGGACGCCCGCAGGUACUGGCGGGGUCCGGGGGGAGGGCGCGUGUGCGGGCCGGAGAGGAGAGGGGCCCCCGGGAGCGGUGGGGCCGGGCCCCUCUCCGUUUGCCCCCGAGCCGAGACGCUUGCAGGUGCUGCCUCUGCCCCGCGGCGCCGCCACCUGCUCGGGGGACGCGGCAGCUGGCGCGUCCGGGCACGGGCACGGACAGGGACAGGUGGCCCCGAGGGGGACGGCGCAGGGCGCUGCGAUACCGCCUGGCGGGUCCCGCCCGGGAAGGGAACCGCGAGGAGAAGCUGCGCCUCCCCCGUGCGACGCCUGUUCCUGGGGCCAGCCCGGACCUGUGGGCUGCGUGAGUGUGACUGUGUGUGUGUGUGUGUGUGUGUGUGUGUGUACAAACUUGUUUCUCUUACCACCGACAGAACAGCCCCUCCUGAAAACUAAGUAGAUGUUAUUUUUUAAGUAAUUUGAAAACAAAAAUGAAAGACUCCUCCCUCCCCUCUUUUUAAUGACUACAUCUUGAGCUUGAAGUGACCAAAACUGGAGGCCUGACACACUAAUUGACGCUGGAGCAUUCUUGCCAUAUGCUGACUUUUCACCUUGUACUCCACUUAGGACCCCCAGAGGUGGCCAGUCGGUAUCCCAUUUGUCCCUAGCCGCGCUCAUGUCCUAGUUCUCCUGCUCAGGAACAGUUCUGUACUAUAUGACCUGAACUUAUAGAAAUGUUGUCAAAUGGUAGGAGGAAAAGGACCUCUUCGACAUGAGAGAUGCUUAGCAUCUGCAGCUUCUGAAGAAGCCUAUAACAAUUACAGGUGCUUAACUCAAGCAAGUUAUUUUAGGUUAAGUCCGUGAAGCUUGAACAACCCAGUUUUUCAGUGAGAUAAUCAUGGGCGGAUACCUGCCCAUUAAACAAAGGCAGAAAGAUUAGGGAUAAGAUGGAAAUGUUUAGAACUAGUAAGUAUUCUGAAUAUUUUUCUUGAGUGAAAAGUAAGUAGGAUGUAUAUACAUUUUACAAUACUGGUAGCAAUUGAGCAGUUAUGUUUUUGUUUUGUUUUUUAACUGAAGUGAUGUUUUGUUACUUAAAAGUAUGCCUGAGACUGGAAAAAAGUGGGAUUACACAAAUUUUUAAAGUCUGUUGUGACUGAUCCAUCCAAAGUGACCUGACUGCGCCUCUACUUCUCAUUCAUCUAAAGGCUAUGUUUUAAAAUGUGAGUUAUGGUUUUGGGGGUUCAUGUGCACAAAACUUCAGCCCUCAUGCAUAUGCACAUGUCAGGAUCAUGUAUAUGUUCAUGCUUAUGAAACUGAAGUUUAAGAUCCAUAUUUAAAUUCAGUAUUUAGUUAGUGUAAGUUGUCUUGGCUUCAGUUGACUUGCACUAGCUGUGGACCUGGACCUGCCCUCUAAGCUUUUUUAAAGAUGGGUUAUAGAUCCUGUAAUAGAAAUUAAUUCACUUCUCACAGAUUUCUUUGCAUUUGUUUAAUUUAAUAUUUGCCUGUAGUUUCUGAAACCCAAGUGCAAGGGUACUUCAGAAUCAGAAGGGACAUGGAAUAUGCAAUAAAGAGUGAAAUAAAAAACGGAAAAUGUUACUGUUAGGGGAGUGAAGUACAAGAGGGGAAACGGCAAAGAUGGUGCAAAAUGAUGCAGAGCUUUAAUUUUUAUCUGGGGUUGUGGUCCUACAAGCUCUUCAAUAGAAGCAGACAUCUUUGUGGAACAGCUUGUAGGUUGAGGCCUGCAGUAUUAGCCACACACAUAACAAAUACAUGUGUACUCUCUAGAUUUAAUUGUUUAGGUGAAUGUCACUUGGUAUUUACGUCCUACAGUUCUUUCUGCUUUUAGAAGGCAAUUGGAGCAGGUGGAGAAGCUCUGUGGUUUCAUUUACCACUUGAACCCAAUGUUAGAAGAUUUCAUAAAAUUUCUCUCUUGCACACAUGGUGCCAAAAUCUAAACAAGGUGACUUUUUCAGUUAGCUCCUUUUGAUUAAGUUAUGUAAUGUUCAUCUCUGAAUAAAAGCAAUAUUUUUUAUUUUUUAUACUCUUUAUUCUGAAAAAGUUAAAAUCUCCACCCAGUACUUGCACUGACGGCAGGGAGGGAGAAGAGGGGCACUGUUUCCUUCCCCAAAACCUCCUGACUGCUUUGAGAGAGGAUUGUUUCUCUGUUGCUGCUUCUUUAAUCUUCUAGCCACUCCAAGUGCUGCGGUCUGUGUCCUAUUCUUCACCUUUGGAGUUUUUCCCCUCACUUAUACAAGCUACAGUGACUAUUCAGGGCCUUACCUCUAAGAGAUUUGCAAGCAACAACAGAGAGAAAUUGAUGGCAGUCUUUACUACCUCCAGCACCUGAAGAGGAAAAAACUGGCAAAAGGGUUCUCACUUUCAUACUUCAGUAGCAUAGAAAUAAUAGAGAUAUUGGACUAGUAUGUAGACUGUUAAAGAUAACACUAGUAAGCUCCUUAAUGUAAACCAGUUGUAUGUUUGUGUCCAAAAGAUCAGGAGCCACAAAAUUAGGAUAGAUUUUACAUAAAUUGGAUGAUUAGCCUCCUACUGCCACUUAGUGUGGAAAGCUUUGUAGUCACAAUUGACAAGUAGGUAUGUAGAUCUCUUGAACUAGAGUAUACUUAUGGUAAUCACCAAGCAACUGAGGGAAUCAUGCAUCCUCUUACAAAAUCUUACAAAAUAUAUUCUCAUUUACUGUAUUAAAAAUUGUCAUAAUAAAUGGUAGUCAUCAUCAAUCACCAUACUUCAGUUUUAACUGAUCCCUGAUUCAGACUAACUGUUAAAUGCAGUAAUACCAUCUAUAGGAUGCCUGGGCACAUCUUAACAAGGUUUUGAUUGCAUCAAUUUAUUGUAAAUAAGAAUUAAAAACACACUAUUCUCUACUACUGGCUUUAGCUUUUAAUCUGACCUUUCAGUUAGGAAUUUACAGAUUAAUAAUUUAACCCUUUGUAAAGGUCUGGGCAAAGAAGUAUCUUUUGUUGCUUUUUCUAAAUAAAGCCAGAUUUGUAAGCAUAUUUCUUUAAAGAGAGAAUUUCAGAGGUGUGGGCAACUCUCACAAAUAACCAUAUGAAUUUUGUAUGAAAUUAUUUCCAGGGGCAUAAUGGCAUAAUAUGUUUGCAUGUUUUAGACCUGAAAGUUUUCUUAUGCAAACGAGUAGCAAAUUUCAGUGUUAAUAGAUUGCCUUCCUUCUGAAGUCUAUUUGCACAGAGAGACAAAAAUGAUUAAACUGUUUUAAUAGUUACAUUGGUAUAAGUCUACUGUAAAGCCCUUUUGAAAAUGGUAUAUUUUUCACGAAUGAUUACCAUGCUGAUCUUUGCUUUUAACAAAAUGUGCACUGAUUGUAUUAUACCAGGCUAAGAUCCUUUUGCUAUUCAGUUGAACAAAAAAUUAAAUUGUAAAAAUCUUCUGUUUGUUUGUGUCAUCCUUGUGUACGUUAGACAUUCAUUAAAUAAAGUUCCACAUGAUACCCAUUAAGUACUGCUGUAGAGAUUUAUGGUUUUUACAUGGAAUAUGCAUUCUUUUAGUCAGUAAAAACUAACUGAUUAAACUGCUUUUUUCCGCUUUCAUUUCACUUUUUUAUUGUGUUGUAAUUUUCUUUACUAACAUGUUCACUUUCACUUGACUUUGCCUCCUUGAUCCCUAGAUCUUUCUUUCUCAUAAAGCACUUUUUGCUUUCACUGCCAAAUGAAUUUCUAUUUUACAAGUAUAUUCAUCACUUUACUAUAUGAAAUCAUAGUUUGAAGAAUUAGAAUUACUCUAAGAGGAGCGACCAAAAAGAGUUUGCUGCCUGAAAGUGUCCUUCGAAACAAACUGGAUUACAGUUGUUUUUAAUGCAAUGAAGCGUGACUUCUAGGAGUUUCAGUUAAGAACCUGUGGUGUAUUCUAAUCAGUUCCUUGAUUUUUAUUCUUUGCUUUCAAGUCAGUGUCAUCUGUUUUUAAGGUGAAUGUUCUUACAGUUGAUGAAUCAAAAUGGAAAAGAUCCUUAUAGAUUAUAAAUGUAUUUAGAAUAGACUUGGUAGAUAUUUAACAAAAAAUAGGAACUUUUUUUCUUCCUUAAUUAUCUUUUAGAUGAAACACUUUUUGUUUCACCAUUUGAAUACUUUACCAUGAGCUUCCCUCUUCACAUGAGCCCCGAAGCUAGGAUUGCCAAAUGUGAAUUCUGGUCCAACUAUGUAUGAUUUCAAAAAAAUUAGAAAAGCACCAUCUGCAUUUUAAUAAACUGUUGAGAUUUCUUGCUUGUUAGUCAGAAGUGAUUCUUUGAAAGACUAAUAGUGAACCUGCCUGAUGUUAACCACCACUUAUAUAAAUUACACCUGCUUUGGACUUCAUGAACUUGUGUAUUUGAUUUUUUUGGAAUUUUUCUUUGUUCAUUUAUGAGCAUCCAGACUAUUUCUUAAUCACUUUGAUUGUCUUGCUUACUCUUCAUUCCCCUUCUAUUUAAAAUGCCCAUGGAGAUACGUCUGUUGCUAUAGGCAGUUCAUCUUUGCUGAUGUUAUAUAUCACUUUUUGAUAAUUUGUUCCAUAAAUGAAAUGUAUAGCACACAUGCCAGCUUUACUUUCUGGAUCUUAUCACAAAAAUCCUUUGUAUAUAGCAUAUUUGGAAUAAACAUUUUUGAUUUGCAAAUGCACUCCAUAACUAUGCUAUUUCUACUUUGGGAAAUAAAGAAUAUGCUCUGGAAAAGUCCUGUAAUCAUCUCAAAUGCUUUGUGUCCAAAACAUUGUGUUGACCAUUUCAACAGCAUGACUCAUUAAUUUUGGGCUCAGGUAUCCAUUGUGUGUGGUGGUAGUGUUUUGUUUUGUUUUUCCUUAUAGUAUCGUGGAACAUAAGUGAAGAACAUCUUCACAAGCAACUUAUCUAUAGUUUGAUAUAUACAGUAGCAAAGUCACACCCCCAAAAUAAUUCUUUUCAGUUUUAAAUUGCACCUGAACUUGUGGCUGAUCAAAUUAUAAUUUCCAUGCAAAUGGGUUAACCAGUUUUAUGAGCAGCACAUUUUUCAUUCAUUCUUUGUCAGUUUAUGAUGACUUGCAUAAGUGUCUUUAUCCAUUAUAUUAUCUAAUUAAAUACUAAUGCAUUGUGAAUAUUUUUCCAUAUGGUUCGUGUUUGUUUCCUCCUGUACCUUUACAUUCUGUUUCUGAUUUAGCUCCAGUACCCACUUGCUGUCUCAAUAUUGUGAUAUUGCUCAUUUGGCUCUUACUUGAAGUUAUUCUCCUCAUUAUUACAUCUGUAAAGCUGGCUCACUUAGCUUUUUACAUCCAAAACUUAAAUUGAUUUACAUAAUUAUUUAACAUAAUUAUUAUCACAUUAGUUUUCUCAUACAUUAUUGUUGGAACACAUUUUCUUGUUAGGUGUCAUGUGCUUGUUAUGUUUGCCAUUUGUUUUCUUUUACUGCAAAGUAUUUAAUAUAUGAAGAAUAACUAUCAUUUUGAGCUGUAAUAGAUUGGAAAUUCACACUGUGUAUUCAAAUGUGCAGCGUUUGCAUAAAGAGAACCAGGAACUAAAUAUAACCCUCCACCAAAUAAGUAUUCUGAGGCCUAUAUUCUUUUAAGGGAUAAAGCUAAACCAUCCAGUGCUACCAGAGAAAAACCUUAAGAAAAAUAUUAUGGUUUGGUUUUUUGUUUGUUUGGGGGGUUUUUUCCUGAAACAUUGGUAUAUUUAACAUUGUCCCAGUUCUCAAGUAUGGCCACAUCAGGAUCUGUCAUGGUAAGUGUAAAUGAGUGGCAGAAAAGAACCAGAGCGUUAUUGAGACUCAGGCCGUAGUGUUAGUGAGUCGGAUUCUUUGGUGUUAUGUGGCCGUUUUAUGCUAUACCUUAGCAUAAUCUGGCUGUAAAACUGGCUUGACAGACCACAGGGGAACACCAGCAUGUAAGGAUAAUUUUCUGUGUAUAGCUGCUGUAGGAUCUCGUACCACAGGCAUGCCCUGUUGCUGACAUAGAAGGGAAAAGGGUCAUGAUUCCUGUGUAGGACUGAGCAAAUAAUUGGUUUUUGGUUUGACAGCUGAACAAAAAAGGUCAGCUCAACCCAAUGUGUAAAACCUUUUUAUUUUUACUUCCUUAAUUGAAAAAGAGAAAAGAAAUACGGACAAAAAUAUUCCUUUUGAGCUGAAUGUAAAUUUUUUUUUUUCUGUUUUCUGCAAUUAAAGCAGAGAACUAUGGUGUCCAACAGGCCAAUUGUUUAGGGUUCUGUAGCUUGAGAAGCACUGCUCUAGACUAUCUGAUGUGGCGGACCAGCAAUUUUUUUUUUCCAGUGGGCCAGGGACUGAUGCCCGGUUCAGCUGGUGGCAACAGCUCCGUGUAACAGCACUACGCAAAUGCGCGACCGGCUGUUUCUUUCCUCGCCUCGCAUGACAUGACGUCACCUGGAGUGUUGGAAUGUAUGAACUGUGGUGCUAUGACAUAUCAAUGUUAUGCUUCUGAAAAUAUCUUUCUUUCUUUCUUUCCUGACAACUCGCUGUGGACCUGCGACCGGUGGCUCAGAGACCUGGCACCAGUUCGCGGACCACCACUUUGAGAAGCAUUGGUCUAGAGCAUGGAAGACUUGGGUUGAAUGGCCACCUUUACCAGAGGAAAAUUGAAACCAUCUCUCCCUGCUUCCCUUGGGAAUGCUAACCAUGCACAAGCAAUGGCUCUUCCUAUUGCUGCAGCAAGGUCCUCCUCUGUACAGAUCUCAUCAAGGAGUAAGUAAAUGAACAGUUCCAGGUCCUCCAUAGUCUGCACUUCACUACACAUGCAUAUCUUUGUGUUGUUAGAAUAGCCCCAUUUGAUCGUGUUUAUUUUUGAUCUUCCAGUUUGUAUGUGUAGGCAAUUUCGGGCAUUAUCAUGUCAGCCAGUCUAAAUCAGCCCCUCUGGGAAGGUCCUUCUGGGGUUCCAGGGCCACUUCAGAACAUUUUGGAGCAUGUACUUUUUCCUUCCAUAACCACAGUCACACCCUGUCAGCUGGCACGUCCAACACACAACACUCAUCACAAAACUCUUUUGUGCUUUAAGCUUAGUUACUUGUAUGUGACCAUACAGUAGAAGCCUGGGGGCCAUGAGUUGCUCUGGUGUGGUCUGUACAGCAUGCAGUUCCCAUUGAUGUGGCCUGUGGGGGGUGUGGCCCCUGCCCACUUGGAAGUUUGACAGCCAUAUUUUAUUGUAAUUAGAUUGUAACACAUGGCUGUGACCAUGGGACCUUCCUAAUCUUGCUUGUGUGACUCAGUCAACUGAUUAUUCCUUUGUGUGGUUAACUGCCCUACGGUGCAUUGCCUUAUGUGUUACUGGUGUCACUUUUGAUAGUUGUUCUCUAGAUCCUCUUGCUUGCUGUGACCAUAUCAGCUGUUUGAAUUUCCAAGAUGCAGCCACAUAACCAAAGUAAGGCAAGAAAACAUUCUCACUGUGCAGAUACACAUUUCUUAGAAGUUAUUGCAGCCAAAUUAAAUACAGAAGUAUGGGUGCACCCAAGUGUCUUACCCCUUGAAAGACUCAUUCUACCUCAGGGCUAGGCUGCUUCUGGGUGGCAGGAGACUGCACACCCUGCAUGCCAUACACCCCUGAGUUCUCCACUGUCAAAUGUGCAGCACAGGCAACUUGGUUUUCCUCCACUGUGUGUGAGCGGUCUGGCUCAUCCACCCUAUAGGCAGCACAAGCAGCACAGCCUCCCUCCUUGCUGUGCACACACACCUCUCGUGAUGUAGGUAGCCCUGAUUUCCCCCUGCCAGGCACGCAGCAUUCUCUCAGUGCCCAGGCCUGCUCUACCCCAUCUGUAGAAGCAGAAGCCACAAGAAGGAGGGGGAGGCUUGGAAACCCCAGCUGCCUCGGCUACCAAAGUGGUGGGGGAGUGGCUGCUGAACAGGAGCCUGGGGCCCACAGGCUGCACAUCAGACAACGCUGUUCUACCAUAUAAAAAUAUUCAAAGAAUCAUUCAAAUCCCUAUAUUAUUCAGCCCUUACAGUGUCUUGAAAAAUGAGGCAGAAGGAAUCGGGUUAAUUAUCAAUAAUAGUACUUGGAAAGCUAGUCCUUUAAAUUAAACGGCACAGGAUUUAUUUAUGUAUUUAUUAAUUUUUUUGGUCUGUGAAGAAUUAUGAUGUCAAUCCUUCUUUAAAUACGAGUAACAGUGUCUAUUGUUUUAAAUGCUGAUCACAAAAGAUCUGAAGGUAUGGUACAUUUUGCAACUGCAGUUAAUGCCUCCUAUAAAACUUUCUUGCAACUUUUAUUUUCAGAACUUCUAUCAGAGUGCCUUAACUGUACUGUGGUAUGUCUCACAAUCUGAACUUUCUGCUUAUAAUAGUAUAAUCUACUAAUCAGGACAGAAUUAAUUUUACUAUGCAAGGAACUGCAUUUUAGGAAGAUGUGUAUUGGCCACUGUUACCAACUUUUGUAUUUUUAAGAAAGCCCCUACAAAUCCUUUGAUCUUUGCCUGAGUAUUUCAAAGAAAACUGAACCCUAUAAAAUUCCAUUUCCAUGUUUAUAUACUAGGUUAUUCAUCUAUAACUUGUUUUCACAUUGUAAGACAAUUAGUUUUAUAUCUUCAUUAUAACAAAUUGUAACUGAUGACUUUCUCUCUGUUCUUCCCAAACUGAUGAGCAGCAGAGCCAAACCUAAACAAGCACUUUUGGCACCUAUUUUCCCAGCCUCUUUCCUACUGUGCAGUGAUGGAUUACCUCGUUCUGUUGACUUGGGCAAGACUGGAAAUAAAAGCAAACAAACAUACAUGCCCAUCCUCUGUAGCCUACCUAGAGGCAUAUGCCAAAUUCAACAAAAAGGCAAUGUUUCAACUAUGUGGAAGAAUGCAAUGGAGAUGAUGUCCAAGUGAUGAGGGAUCAAGUGGGCCACAGCAACACACACAAAGUGGGAAUAUUUAAUACAGACUCAUCAGUGUAUCCUUUUCCUCUCUCACCACUGGAUGCUGCCCUUCAUUUGCUACUGUGUAGUGUCUUGGCUCCUAGAUUAAUAUAUUCUCCAGGCAGCUGUGCCUUUCUUAUACUAAUUAACUCUUACAUAUCAUAAUUUGUUAAUAGAUGAAAAAAUAUCACUUAUAUGAUAGUGACAGAAACUGAUAUUUGAUAAUAAAGGUAUUAUAUACGUACAUGAACACACACAAAAGAUAGGUUUAAAUAUUAAGGUUGUGAAGUGAGACACUAGAAACAGUAAAAUUAAGAUUGUAUAACGAUUUGUGCUCCCUCCAUCCAUGUAUUGUAUACAUGUUGAUACAGCCUCCAGUUACUGUAUAUAAUCAUAAAAUGUGAUCAUAUAAUACUCUAUUAUAGUAUUCACAUACUGUGUGAACAUAUGAUGGUCAUAUGAUAACAGGAUCAUUGCUCAUUCGGUGCAUAGGAUGAGUUCUCACUUAAUGAUUUCCUUUUUUACUGCAGGCUGUUACAGUGUUUUUCAGACAGGAUUAUUAAAUAGAGACACAUGGGCAGAAAGGAGGGGAAACAAGCUUCUGUUUUUUGGAGAAUUGUAAUGCACAGAAUUUGAUGCAUAAAAUAUGGUUUAUAUUUGUAAAAACCAAGCACCAUUCCAGAGCUCUCCUAGAUGUAUGAGAUCAGUUUGCAAAAUUCCCUAGGAAACUAAGGUAAGGGUUCAGGCAAUAGCCUGAGACAGGUUCCUUAAGAAGGGUUGUAACCCCACUGUAAAAAAAGUAUAUUCGUUUGAGAUGUCUGCUUUGACUCCACAGCGCUGUCAGCAUAUACUACAGUGGUAGUUUGCCUAGGUACAAUCACUUGGAUCCGAAGGGAGAAUCAGAACUGAAGGCUUUCCAAACCUCUGUACCCCGAGUAUAACGUAAUAAGAGAGAACAAAAGGCUCAAGGGAACUAGAGGCUCCCACUUUCCUAAUGGGGAAGAAGUCAAAUGAUUGUGGAGCAUAUUCAAACCCAUUCUGACCCCAACAGGCUCACCUGGGAAGUUUGUAGUCUCCUUUUCUGUUUUAAGGAUGUCAAGGACUAUAGUAAACAGUAUUGACCACAUUGGAUCUGAAUUUACAAUGUGACAUUUGCUGUAUUUUCUUGCAUACAACAAACACUUCUGCCGCGCCCCCCCAAUGGCUGCUGGACAUUACAGUACACAUUGUGUGUCAGAAACAGAGUAAGAACAAUUUCUCCCAUUUACAGGCAAAAAUGAAAGUAAAAUCUGCAUGUAACUCUGGGAGCAGAACAAUGAGCAGGCACUACCCAGCUGCUGCUACUCAGUGGGUGUGUCUACACAAGAUGCUAUGUUGCCGUAGCCACAAGCUACCUCGAUAUAGUGGGUCCCUGUGGUGACGUAACUGCUAAAAAUAACCAUGUGCUGCCUAAAGCAAGUACUAAAUGAUGGUGCAGUAAUAACUGCCCCAUGCAGGGCACGUGUAGACACGCCCAGUUAAUACAGGAAAAGAUCUUUGUCUCUUCAUUCUGCCUUUCAAAAAGGUUAAUUAUUAUAUCCUGGGGUGUGUUGUACGUUAGAAAAUACAAUAAUUGUAUUAGACAAUCUAUUACAUCAAUUUCUCUUUCUUGGAAAGGGAGUGAGCAAGUGCAAACAUUAUACAGGUGUUUCACAGAGUACAAAUAUAUACAGAUUGUAACUUCUCCAGUUCAUAUGAUAGGGGUUUGUUGCAUAAUAUUUGGUAGCCCUGUCCUUUGGCCAUUUGGCUUUACUGACUCCUGACAGGAUACUAUGGGGGUAUCAUGCAUGCUUUUCUACAGGGCUCCAACACCUCCUAGAGUUUAGGGAAAGCCUCAAGUGCUCCUGAAUCAGUCCAUAUCAUGCAGGGAGUGCACUUCCUAACAACAGUCUCAUACUGUCUCAGAGGCAGAAUGGUGGAGGAGGAGGGGGGACAAUGAAUACAAAUACUUUGAUCCAGACCCUGAUGAUUGUAAAUCUCCUGACAACAAAGUAGGAGUCACUUCAACAUCUUCCCUGUCAGAAAGUGGCAGUCAGGAUCAUGAAUUAGUUGUAAGAAUGGCUUCAACUUUAAAAAUAUUGGCCAUUUCAGGACAAAAGAUGUUCCACGUUGUCCCGUGUUGUCCAUCCUAAUGAGUCUCUUGAUAACAGCAAGAUCAUGCUCUCAGUUUGAGAAGGGAUUUAUAAUCUGCCAGACCUCUUUAGACAAACUCACUUUAAUCAGCCACAAUAAGGGAAGCUGAGAGAUGUUCAGACAGAUGCUAUGUGAGGAUUUUUUUUCCACGGCUCCCAACUAGAGGAUAGACCCUUCAGAUGACAAAAGGAAGUUAAACAGUCUGUAUAAUCUGACAGAAAACCAAAAAUCUCGGGGAGAUUUUCUCCUCAGCCUCACAAAAGCAUAAGGGUUUCUAAUUACCAGGAUAUCGCGUCAAAGUAUCAGUAAGAGCAGCUCUGGAAAUGAAUGCCAUUAUUUACUAAGGGCCUGCCUGAUGAGCAAAGAAUUAGUUAAAGCCUUAAUUGUCCUAGGAAAAUCAGUAUUUAAGUAUAGACAGAGGGCCUCAAUUGUUUACUCAGAAGCUACAGUAAGAGCAAUGUCUUCAUGCAUGGCUCAGAUCUUCUGGGUAACUAGAACACACGUGGAAGAAUUCUCUUCAGUGGGGAUGGCUUGUUCACUGCAAAGACCUUCUGAUGAACAACAUUAGAUCUGCCGCUAUGAGCAUGGGUACAUGAACAUGUUACUGCAAGGUAUGGACAGCAAUACCCUUCUUCAUCCCUAUCUUUGAACUUCACAUCAGUAUCAUCACUAACCACCACCUGUUCAAGUUUAGCAUAAGAGAAAGAUUUUCAAGACAUAUCCAAAGGACAGAAAAAUAUCAUCCUUAUCAUCUGCAUAAUGCCUUACUUUAGAAAUUUGUAGUACAAACCAUAGAAUCGUAGAAGAAUUAGGGUUGGAAGGCACCUCAGGAGGUCAUCUACUCCAACCCCCUGCUUAAAGCAGGACCAUUCCCAACUAGAUCAUUCCAGCCAGGGCUUUGUUGAGCCAGGCCGUAAAAACUUCCAAGGAUGGAGAUUUCACCAUCUCUCUAGCUAACCUAUUUCAGUGCUUCACCAUCUUCCUAGUGAGAGAGUUUUUUCCUACUGUCCAACCUAAAACUUCCCUUGCUGCAACUUGAGACCACUUCUUGUUCUGUCAUCUGCCACCACUAAGAACAGUGUAGCUACAUCCUCUUUGGAACCACCCUUCAGGUAGUUAAAGGCUGCUAUCAAAUCCCCUCUCAGUCUUCUCUUCUGCAGACUAAAUAAAUUCAGUUCCCUCAGCUGGUCUUCAGUCAUGUGCCCCAGCCCCUAACCAUUUUCAUUGCCCUCUGCUGGACUCCCUUCAGCUUGUCCACAUCCUCGCUAUAGCAGGGGCCUCAAAACUGGAUACAGUACUCCAGAUGUGGUCUCACCGGUGCAGAAGAGAAUAAUUCCUUCAGUUUGCUGGCAAUGCUUCUACUAAUGCAGCCCAGUACGUUGUUAGCUUUCUUGGCAACCAGGGCACACUCUUGACUUGUAUCCAUCUUAUUGUCCACUGGAACCCCCAGGUCCUUUUCCGCAGAGCUGCUGCUUAGCCAGUUGGUCCCAAGCCUGUAGCAGUGCAUGAGGUUCUUCUGUCCUAAGUGCAGGACUUUGCACUUGUCCUUGUUGAACCUCCUGAGAUUUCUUUUGGCCCAAUCCUCUAAUUUGUCUAAGUCACUCUGAAUCCUAGCUCUAACCUCCAGUGCAUCUACUAUACCCACUGUGUAACCAAUCUUAAUCCAUUCAGGUUCUUCCAUGCCUCCCCACUUUGGGAUUGACUUCCUCACUUCUGCAAGAGCUAGACUACAAGUGGAGCUUAGAAAUAAUUCAAAUGUUUUAUUCCAUACAUUUCAAUAUCAGCCUUCCCUCCAGUCCUCUUCUGAUGUUUAGGGACCUACUAAGAACAAACAAUCCUGUUCUUGGGGAAAGGGCCAUAGAGGAAGUUUUAAAGGUAUUUAGGACCUUUGGGGCAUUUACACAUAUACUUUUCUGUCUCAUGAUGUACCAGAGAUUCGCCGAUUAACCAAGUCUGCUCCACACAUGAACUGAGGUGAACUGCGUUGUGCCACGUGCAGUUGUGUAAGUGGCAAAAUACGCAGCAUCAUGCAGAAAAUGACAGUGGUGUGCUUUUGAAUUAAAGCACCUCCAAUGUGUUUUAGAUAAAAAGUGAGCUGCUGCCAUUUUCUCAGUGCUAAGGCACAUUUUGCCACUUAUACAACUGCAAGCAUUGUAGCACUGGUGCUGUGGCGCUUGCAUGUGUAAAAAUGCCCUUGGAUUCUAAACGUGCAGGUUCUUAUUUUUCAAGGGUUAUAGUUUAGACUAUCCUGACAGUGGCUUCAAGAGGUCAUUUUGGCAAUCAAGGAUCAUUGUAGUUUAGAGACCACCCCAACCCCAACCUUUCAAAUGGACAUACAGGGGAUCAGGAAGAAAGCAUGGCAACCUUUAUUGCAUUUUGAUGUCAUCUUAGUAGUCUCCUAGGCAGACAGAAUUAUCCAUUAGCUAGCUAAGUCACUUGUACAGCAGCUUAUAUACUUAUUUAUACCCUCUAGAGCAGUGAUUCUCAACCAGGGUGUGGUGGCCUGUUGUUCUGACCUGUUAUGGUCUUUCUGAGUUCUUUCCAACAGAAAAAUUGCUGUUAUUUUCCACAGGCAUAAAAAAGAGUGAAAGCUAAGAGCUGGCAUUUUCCAGCAAAUGCCUUGAAUCUAGUAAGGGGUGCCUUGAGUCUAAAAAGAUUGAGAACCACUGCUCUAGAGUGUCUUAAAGCUGUGUAUUCCAGAGGCAUAAGUAUCAAAAUGUCCUAACAUAAUCAACUUUUCAUCACCAGAAUUGUGAUUGUAGAAUGUUUCUAAUAGAAAUUUUGAUAUAAAAUGCAACCCCCCCCAAACCCCCCAACAGCUUAUGGUAAUGUGACAUUAAGUUUGUAAGACUGACUGCUCAAAAUUCCCAAGAAAGAGUAGGCUGUGUUUUGAAUCAAAGGCAACUUAAGUCUAAUACCGCAUGGUUAUUAUCUUCUAUGGAAAAUUGAUUCUGAUUCUACAUUUUUUUCAUUUCAGUUUUGGCUAACUUUCAGCUGUCACCAGCCUGCACUGGAAGAUUCCAGCAUUGGCUCUUGUAUUCUACAUUACACAUUCUGUACAUGUGAGGGUUAAUAAUAAAAAGCAAUAUACAGAGGGUUAUAUUUAACAAAGAAAAGAGGAACAGAAAAACGGUACACCUGUAAAAUGCAGAUAAAAUAGCAUUGCCAUAGAAGAUUUACCUCCGCAUUUCCUGCCUUGAAUACAAGAUGCCUUCAAUUUAAUGUUGCAUUAAUACUUUUUUUUUUUUUUUUUACAUUUAAUUUUCUAAAAAGCUGGAUGUGUAACUCACACUUUACAAGUGGCUUUCUGUGUGCAAGGGGAAGUGUCUUAGGACUUGCAUAACCACAAUACCACACCUGGCAUGGCUUGGUAUAAUACACACAUGGUAUGGCAUAGCAAUUAUCCUUGGUUGCCAAAGUGACUUUUUGAAGCCGUGUACUAGCAGUGUUGCCCAGCUGCCAGCUGCAGCAGUGGGUAUUUUUGUAUCCCCUCCACAGGUACCCAGGGCUGCUACCUUAGUUGCUUCCACUCUACCUCAGUAAUGUUACUGAAGCAUGGAAAUGCUGUAGCUCCUAUUCCAGACCAAAUGUAAAGUGAAGGCUUUGGGAGGGUUUGGAGCAGUGCUGUAACUUCACUUUCUUAUCCCAGAUAGCUGGAUUUUCUCUGUCCAGCUCCCCAUCCAUCUGAAGUCUGAUUAUUCUGAUUAUUCAGCUUGCCUGUGGAUUAAAAGAAUUACACUGUUAGUUCAGGUGGUCUGACAAACACUUCCCAUUACAAGACCUUGUUUUCAGUUCCUUAUAAUGUUGCCAGACUUUAACCAUUUAACUGAAAUUUUCCACCCUGUGUGUUUCCAUUAGACUGAGUUUUUUUGAAUACUUCAGCAAAACUGGUUCAGCCAUUUCCAUGAAUUAGGCAAGAAGACCUGUGUGUAACAUUUUUUUUACAGCAGUUACAUUGAGAAGCUCUACAACUCCAAUCUUUUGGAGCAAAGACUUGAAAUUUGGUAGGAAGGUACCUGAUAUUUGGGAUGUGCCUUUUUUCUUACAGAAGAUCAUCAAGAUUGAACAAUUUAUGAACCUUUGGCAUAUUUCAAUUCAAGCACAGUCAGUGGUGUUUUGUAGGAAUGGCAGCUGAAUUCCAGAGGAUGGCAGAGUGGAGAAGGAAGGUGUGUGACUUGAAAGCAGAGGAGAGUAAAACCAGAUUUGGAAGAUGGCACUAGAAGGGAAAGACUGAGAUCAGAUAAGGCAUUCGGUCUGGGUGGGGGUAUCAAUAGGAUUGUGAUUAGCAGCUAGUGAGAGGAAAGUGAGAGGCUUGCUGGGCAAUGGACUCAGAUUUGGAUGAGGAGCCCAGGUAGGGACACAUAGGGCAUGUCUAUAUGUUCAUUGAUGUGCCGUAGUUACGACACAUUAAGUUUAGUACCUGUAAUAACAGCUACUAACAAUGCACCAUAAUUGGCACUACUGCACAAUAGCGCAGAUUAAUACUUUGUGUGACACUUAAUGUGCAUUGGACUAAGUCUACUGCAUAUUAGCGCAUUAACACCAUUUUUGCCAGCUGCACUAAUGUGCAGUAGAAUUAAUCCAAUGAGCAUUAAGCAUCUUGUGUAAACGUGACUAGAGACUGGCUGGGCAAGAAGCCUGGGACAAUGAGCCAGGGGUGUGAGAAUACUGGGAUGAGGAGUCAAGAGAGAUAGUGGGAAAGAAACAGGGUUACAAGCUGGCAAAACUUAGAGGGGAUUGGCUAGCUAAGGUUAGUUUUAACUGGCCAUGAGAACACACGCCUAUGCAGAACCUGAAAUUGAUGCCAGAAUUCCUAAGUCUCAAUAUUAUUAUAUGAAAAUCCACUGUCAAAAAUGUCUCUCAUUCCCUUGUAGUGAUUGUUCCAUACAGAAAGUAACAGUAUAUUAUUGCCAUUAUUCUGUUUGUUUGAAUGGUAGAGGUCUAUGUGGUAGAUCUAAUGAUUCUGACUCUGCUGAUGACCCAUUAACUUCAUUUUUCUUUUUUUGAAAGCUGGAAAUCCCCCUCUUCUAUCCCUCCCCACUUUAAGGUAAUCUUUAGGUUGCAACAUUAAGUACCUUAACAUGGGAGUGACAGAAUUAAGGUAAUAAUCUGGCUCCCUUCAGCAGUUGCGUUAUGAUUAGGGACCUACUCAAAUUGAGGUUUUGUGAUUUUUGUAGAAACUGUGAAAAAUAACAGUUUCCAUUAUUUUGUGCAGAAUUGCCAGGGGGAAAAAAGUACUAUAAAUGGUGGCUCAGCCUUGCAAUCUUCUGGGUUGAGGCGGGGAGCUGCCAUCAUGAAAGGGAGUAGCCAAAGUGGCAGCUGCUCGUUCCUCCACUGAUUGGCUGAGAGGGCUCCCUUUCGUAUGACCCCACACCUCAGCCAAUCAGCAGAGAGCGGUGUGACUGCAUGAAGGGCAGCCCUCUUGGCCAAUCAGUGGUGAAGGGCGGUUCCCCUGGGGCCCCUCAACCAAUCAGUAGUGGGGGUGGGAGAGGGCCUCCACAAUAAACUCACAAAAAUGGCAGCCAGUGCUGUGAUCAGCUGGCGAAAUCACCCAUCUGCUGCCUAAAUUUGGUUAGGUCCUUAAUUAUAAUACUGUCUUUAAUUACAUAAUCAUUUGCUAUUAUUAGCACAGAUGAGAACCUAGUAUAGAAAAGGCUCUGGGAUUUUUUUUGCUUCAUCAAUCAAACCUACUGAGGAGCAGGAUUUGAUUGACAUACUGGUAAAAAUGCCACAAGGCAGCAGAAUUUUGUCUAAGGUAAGGGUCCUUACUGUUUACAUAUCAUUGCAGCUGAAUGGAUGGUAUUCUUUCUCUCUCUCUUUUUCUUUCUCUUUUUCAAUCUGUAGUAUAGACAAGAUUUCAAAGGAAAAUAAUUCACUCUCUUAGUAAGUGAAGAAAUGAAUCGUACCUAUUUCUUCUCUAGAAAUAGCAUCAGCACAGAUACGGAGAUAAGUAAUAUUAUAGCAAACAAAGUGUUCUGACUUGCCAUUUAAUAGUGGUUUAAUAAUAAUACAUUAUAAUUUGUAAUACCUCUAGGAGCAUUAACAAAAUGCUCUUGGGAUAGUUACAUUUUUAACCAUGUCAGUUAGACUGUCCAUGAGGUAAUGAUGAGACUUGUAAGCCUUCAGUUUGGUGGUUCUUCAUACAGUAUGGAUUAGUCAAGAUUAUCUGCAUUAUCUUGCCCAGGGAAAGGCUGGAUGGAUAAGCAUCCCUCUUGGAUUGUUUAAGAUUAGAGCAUCCUCUAUGUCCAGAAGGAUGUGCUAGAUCAUGGUGUCAAACAUAUAUAUGGUUUCCAUGCUGGAUUUACCCACAGAGCUGAGUCAUCUGGCCCACAGCCUUGGUGGGGGACCAGUGGUAGUCAAGUGCCUGAACAAGACUUGUGGCACUGGAGACCCAGAAACACUGUGGUGUGUUCCAGCCACAGCAGCCAAGCAGCUGAGAUACUGGGCCUCUUCUUGCCAGGUCCUAGAUGGCCAGAGUGGGUGCCACAUAGACAGGAUUUGGCAUGGGGGGAGGGGCAGAGGCCUUGUGCCAUUCAUCUGGCUCUUGGACCAAUCACACACUAUUCAUCUGGCCCACAGGACCAAAUGAGUUUACCACCCAGUCUAAAUAACCAUUGGGGGAGCUCACAUCCUAUAAUUCUUUAAACUCUAUGGCUUACUUCUAUUCUUUAUAAACUUUGUUUUUAAUAUCUAACUUGUUGCUGCCAAAAAUUAGUGGGCAAUAAAUUCAUAAAGCUCAAUAUAGAAAACAAAUUAUUGGUUCUUAAAAUGUUCUUGGUCCCAUAGCAAGCUAAAAUCCUUUCUUCUCUCAAUUGCUUAAAUUUCCUUAUCGUUGAAUUUGUGAUGUCAUACUUUUUCCUUCAGUCAUCAAUAAACUCUUCUAGGCAAACAUUAGAUCUCUAUUUUUAUUGUUUGAAAAUCACAAGAAGAACUAUUUUUACUAUGUUUAGGAAAAAAACUUUAGUUAUAAAUGUAUGUAUCUUAUUCAUAAAUAACUAAAUAAGAACCCAAAAUAUUGUUUCAUUUCCCUUUGCUAAUCACUUAGGAUGUCAGUCACUUUUUGCAUUAGGCUGUGCCAUAUAACAAGACAACUUUUCUGUGGAAAAUGUUUGGAGGUAGCCUGAUGAUUCAAGAAGUAUAGAAUGAGAAAUAUGUUGUUUUGGAAGCAAUUCUGAGAACAAGGUGUACCAUGUCAUAUUGUAGAGCCAAAGACCUAGCUGAAAACCCACUGAAAUCAUUGGAAAGACUCCCAUUUACUUUAAUGGGCUUUUUAGCAGGCCUCAGAUGCAGCUGCCUUUGAAUUGCAGGACAAGCAUGAUCAGCUACAAGCUUUUAUUAUGGGUGAACUUCAAACGAGAAGUAAUUUGUGCCCAGUGCAAACAUAUGUUUUUGUGGAUUAAUUUGGCUUUUAAAAAUUAUGUUCUUUUGCAUGCAAAUGAUUUGUGUCCCAUAGGGUCCUGAAGUUUUGUGGAUAUUGCCACGCUUUUGGCAUCUGCCUUGAAGAAUAUGGUAGCGUUAAUAAUUUCUGAUUUGGUAGCUGAUUUCCAAACUAAGAAACUAACACUUGAAUAAAAAUAGUUUUUUUCUAAUAUACAAGUUUAAUUAUUUUUCAUUUUAUUAUUGUCGCAGCACACCUCGCUGCCCCGCUCCUAGAGAGGGGAGAACUGCUGGGGAAAAGCCUCAGCAGAGAUAAUGAGCACAGCUGCAGGUUGCCAGGGCACCUAAUGAGAAGCAGCUGAUCCUGAGGGGGGCAGGGCCUGGCCCCUAUAAAGCCUAGAGCCAAGGCCAGGCUAGCAGUUCCCUGCUAGCAGCCAGAGGGGCAGGAGUUCCUGGAGUUAGGAUGCAGAGAGAAGCCUAAUAGCAAGUACCACUCAAGCGGAGUUAAGCAAUGAUGUUAAACUAUAGCCAGGCAGCUUUGGGUUGUGUUUGAGUUAUAGCCAGGAGGCUUGAAGUUGUGUUUGUAUUACACCGGUGGCUUGGGUGAGGCUAUAAGGGGUUGGAGGAGGCCUUAUAGGGACCCCAGAGAGGUGGGGCCCUAGCGCCAAGAGGGCACAUUAUCCUCAUAAAGGGACCCACAGUGGUGUGGGGGCCCUAGCACCAGUGAGGGCGCAGUACUCAUAGGGGUGGUCACAGGAGUGUGAGGACCCCAACGCCAGUAAGGUCGCAACUUGCGGGGUGUGUAGACCCCAGCCCAGAGAGAGGCAUUUAAAGAGCCCAGUGUGGGCACAGCAAGUCCCAGAGAGAGGGGCGAUUUUAGUAGGAAGCCCAGGGUGGGCAUAGAUACCCCCAAACAGGGGGUGGUAUUAUUAAAGAACCCAGCGGGGCCUGGAAGGUCCCAGAGAAGGGGGACCAUUGCAAGGCCCAAGGGGGCAAUGUUUGAGAGGCCCAAGGGGGGCAAGAUUGAGAAGCCCAGGACGGGCGUAGCGAGCCCGGUAACAGGCUAGCACUACGGAAAACCCGGGGCAGGGUGCUGCGGUGGACCCAGACCAAAGGGGUUAGCAGCACAGCGCCCCAGAGAAGGGCGGUGCUGCGGUGGUCCCCAGGAAAAGGGGAUAGCAGCACAGUGCGCCCAGCAAUCGAGAGGUUAGCAGUGCGGUGGGCCUAAAAGACCGGUGGCUUGAGAGGACGUCCCAAAGUGGACUAGAUUAUUUUAGAGAAGGCCCAGAGUGGGCCUCAAGAGUCCCAAGAGAGGGGCGGUGUUACUAAGAGUCCCAGUGAGGGGCACUGUAUUAGAGAGAGCCCAGAGUGGGCCCAGUGAGAGCCCAGAAAGGGGCAAUAGCAUAGAGACAUACGGAGAAGGCCCUAGGGCGGGCUAGAUUACAGAGGAGGACCCGAGAAAGCGGGUGUGUAUUUUGACCGGACAACGUCUGUCCCAUCUGCGAGGCUUGGGGCGUGGUAUUAGGGGUUGGUAGGAGCCACGUGUAGCCCAUAAGGCUGGGGUGCCGGAGUAGCACCCAUCAUACGGGGUGACCACAAGAGUCCAGGAAAACCACGGGGACAGAGGUCCCGACUAGCCGUGCCCAAGGAGGAGUAAGGUAGCCUCCCUAUUAUAUUUACCAGCAAGAUGUGGCGGGCGAGAAUAAGAGGGUACCUUGGGCUAGCCUUGACACGGUGUGAGGGACCUCGGGGAGAUCAUGGCCCUCCUAUAGGACCUCGUCGUGACAAUUAUAUAGACUUAGAAAUGACAAGUUUAAAAAUACCCUAAUAAAUCAACUGAUGAAGUCAGGCUAUAGUAUAGUAGGGAAGUCAUUUAAAAUAGUUUGUGGUAGCUAAGAAUUAGAGUGCAUACUGUUCUUACAAAAUGUAGAAGUAAAAUAGGGGUUUUCUUUUGCUUCCAUGUUCAAAUUAGGUAUGAGAUGUACACCUACCAGAUACCAUUACGCAGCUUAAGACAGAAAAAAGUACUGUUGCAUUGCUUUCUCCAUCUGUUCUAUAAUUUUUGAUAGUGAGAUUCUAAAAUGUUCAAAGCAGACUGAACAAGUUAUAGUCAAAAUAGUAAUGUUGUUUAUCUUGCACUUUUAAAUGCAGAUGUUUUAAUUGUAUUUUCGAGUUUGUUUACUAAUUAGAAAGCAGGUUCACAAUGUGGUAUCUAUCUUCUUUCAUUUGUAUCAACAAACAGAGAAGUCAUGAGAAAGGGACCUUUUCCCUUCAGGGAGUCUUUUCUUGUUAAUGUUGACUCAGGUUGUUAGUGCUUAUACAUGUCUCCUUUCCUGUUCUCCUUUCUUCUUAAAUUUUACUCUUUCAAUUCCUUCUCUCGUUUUCAAAUUUCAUUGUACAUUUGUCUAAUACUUGUCAUGUCUGUAUCAUUCUUUCCUGUUUAUCUGCUAUGUCAAUGAAUGCUUUUUAUUUUUUGUUCUGAAUUGCAAAAGUAAGGGUUUUUAAUGAUCCUGAUUGAUACAUUUAUUGAACUAAGGAUCCUUCCUUUUAAGACUACAAAAAUUUCACCAUUAGUUUAAUUGAAGGCUAAAUAAGAAAAUUCCUUAUAAAUAAUGUAUGCUGUACUUUUAAAUAUUGUGAAACCUGUUCAAGAUUUACUUUAAAGGAUAUCUUCCAUUUGAAAAAUAUACUUUUGAUUGAA